GGCUGCAGUCGAGGAUCUUCGGCAAUGGGGGAAACCCUGACCGAGCGACGCCGCGUGCGAGAUGAAGGCCUUCGGGUUGUAAAUCGCUGUCGUAGGGGAGGAAAUACUGGUGGGUUCUCCCAUCAGUUUGACCUAUCCUAGGAGGAAGGACGGGCUAAGUUCGUGCCAGCAGCCGCGGUAAUACGGACCGUCCAAACGUUAUUCGGAAUCACUGGGCUUAAAGGGUGCGUAGGCGGCCCGGAAAGUUGGGUGUGAAAUACCUCGGCUCAACCGAGGAACUGCGCCCAAAACUGCCGGGCUCGAGGGAGACAUAGGUGUGCGGAACUUAGAGUGGAGCGGUGAAAUGCGUUGAGAUCCUAGGGAACACCAGUAGCGAAAGCGGCACACUGGGUCUCUUCUGACGCUGAUGCACGAAAGCUAGGGGAGCGAAGAGGAUUAGAUACCCUCGUAGUCCUAGCCGUAAACGAUGAGCACUGGUUUGGAGGCUCCUCCAUAGGCUUCCAGACGUAGCGAAAGUGUUAAGUGCUCCGCCUGGGGAUUAUGGUCGCAAGGCUGAAACUCAAAGGAAUUGACGGGGGCUCACACA
rnacentral:rRNA from 1 species